rnacentral:rRNA from 1 species
CGGAAGACCAAGGGUUCCUGUCCAACGUUAAUCGGGGCAGGGUGAGUCGACCCCUAAGGCGAGGCCGAAAGGCGUAGUCGAUGGGAAACGGGUUAAUAUUCCCGUACUUGGUGUUACUGCGAAGGGGGGACGGAGAAGGCUAUGUUGGCCGGGCGACGGUUGUCCCGGUUUAAGCGUGUAGGUGUGUGUUCCAGGUAAAUCCGGUUCACUUUAACACUGAGGCGUGACGACGAGGCACUACGGUGCUGAAGCAACAAAUGCCCUGCUUCCAGGAAAAGCCUCUAAGCAUCAGGUAACAUCAAAUCGUACCCCAAACCGACACAGGUGGUCAGGUAGAGAAUACCAAGGCGCUUGAGAGAACUCGGGUGAAGGAACUAGGCAAAAUGGUGCCGUAACUUCGGGAGAAGGCACGCUGACACGUAGGUGAAGUGAUUUACUCAUGGAGCUGAAGUCAGUCGAAGAUACCAGCUGGCUGCAACUGUUUAUUAAAAACACAGCACUGUGCAAACACGAAAGUGGACGUAUACGGUGUGACGCCUGCCCGGUGCCGGAAGGUUAAUUGAUGGGGUCAGCGCAAGCGAAGCUCCUGAUCGAAGCCCCGGUAAACGGCGGCCGUAACUAUAACGGUCCUAAGGUAGCGAAAUUCCUUGUCGGGUAAGUUCCGACCUGCACGAAUGGCGUAAUGAUGGCCAGGCUGUCUCCACCCGAGACUCAGUGAAAUUGAACUCGCUGUGAAGAUGCAGUGUACCCGCGGCAAGACGGAAAGACCCCGUGAACCUUUACUAUAGCUUGACACUGAACAUUGAGCCUUGAUGUGUAGGAUAGGUGGGAGGCUUUGAAGUGUGGACGCCAGUCUGCAUGGAGCCGACCUUGAAAUACCACCCUUUAAUGUUUGAUGUUCUAACGUGGACCCGUGAUCCGGGUUGCGGACAGUGUCUGGUGGGUAGUUUGACUGGGGCGGUCUCCUCCUAAAGAGUAACGGAGGAGCACGAAGGUUGGCUAAUCCUGGUCGGACAUCAGGAGGUUAGUGCAAUGGCAUAAGCCAGCUUGACUGCGAGCGUGACGGCGCGAGCAGGUGCGAAAGCAGGUCAUAGUGAUCCGGUGGUUCUGAAUGGAAGGGCCAUCGCUCAACGGAUAAAAGGUACUCCGGGGAUAACAGGCUGAUACCGCCCAAGAGUUCAUAUCGACGGCGGUGUUUGGCACCUCGAUGUCGGCUCAUCACAUCCUGGGGCUGAAGUAGGUCCCAAGGGUAUGGCUGUUCGCCAUUUAAAGUGGUACGCGAGCUGGGUUUAGAACGUCGUGAGACAGUUCGGUCCCUAUCUGCCGUGGGCGCUGGAGAACUGAGGGGGGCUGCUCCUAGUACGAGAGGACCGGAGUGGACGCAUCACUGGUGUUCGGGUUGUCAUGCCAAUGGCACUGCCCGGUAGCUAAAUGCGGAAGAGAUAAGUGCUGAAAGCAUCUAAGCACGAAACUUGCCCCGAG